UGGGUAUGCUAAGGACCCGAAAGUGAGCCACUCUCCCUAACUCCAGCUUCUGUGGUUAAUUAGAUUUGGAUGGUUUCAGAGGAGCAGCUGGAGUUUUCAGAAAAUGGAAGCGAUAAAAAGGGACUAUUCAAGGCUGCAUCAUGUGUUUUUCAUCAAGUGAAGCUUUUCAGUGAACUGGCAGUCCUUCCAAAUAUGAUCUGCUGUAACCAAAUGGACAGGGAACAUGAAGCACCUUUAUGAACAAGAAAGCAAAAUAAGCACAGAGAAAUUGGGCAGAACAUGGUGAAACUCCAUUAUACACUGUCUCAGGCUAUCAUGGAUGGUACUGCACGUCCAACACUUUCUUCAGAGUCAACAGGUUUAUCACUGACACAAGAGACCAGCAGGAGCCUGCAGCAAGCUGACAUCUCUGACAUGAGCGUUCUGGUCAACUGCUGCUGAUUUCAGAGUCUUCUAUGACUAGCCAUGCAAAAGGAAGGCAGAGCCACAAAACUGGUCUGUGUGCAAAGGAAAGAAUGAUCCAGGAAAGAGAUUCUUGAGCUUGCCAAUUAGAGCCAGAACUAUCAGCCUUUGCUUUUUUACUUCCUGCAGCAUUUUUCUGGGGAAGUCACUCAAGCUCUCUGGGGCUCGGUUUCCUUAUUUAUAAAAGAGAGAAUUUGUCUUCUAAACCAGUAAAUUUGAGUAAGAAAAAGACAACCCGGGCACCAGGCACAGUAGAUCAUACCUGUAAUCCCAGCACUUUUGGAGGCUGAGGUGGGUAGAUCCCCUGAGGUCAGGAGUUCAAGACCAGCCUGGCCAACAUGGCAAAAACCCAUCUCUACUAAAAAUACCAAAAGUUAGCAGGAUGUGGUGGCACACGCCUGUUAUCCCAGCUACCUGGGAGGCUGAGGUGAGAGAAUUGCUUGAACCUGGGAGGAGGAGGUUGCAGUGAGCUGAGAUUGUGCCACUGCACUCCAGCCUAAGCAGCAGAGUGACUCCAUCUCAAAGAAAAAACAAAGACAAUCCAGUAGAAAAGAAGACAAAACUUAUAAAUAGGCAAUUCAUAGAAGAGAAAAUACAGAUCACAAAAACAUAUGUGAACAGAAGUUCCUUUUAUCAGGGAAAUGCAGAGUAAACUAUGGUGAGAUACAGUUUCUCAUCCAUAAUACUGGCUAACAUUUUAAAGUCUGACAAUUCCAAGUGUUGAGAAGGAGGCAGACUGAUGGAAACUCUCAUUUACUAUUAGUGGGAGUAUAAAUUGGUACCACCAUUUUGAAGAGCAGCUGGCAUUUUCUAGUAAAUUUAAAUAUGCACAUUUCCUAUAUUCUUGCAAUUCUGCAUGUAAGUAUUUUCUCUAGAUUAACACUCACAGAGAGGUAAUGGAGGCACAUAUAUGAAUUGUUGCAGAAUGUACAACUGGAAAUAACUUGCAGAUCUGUCAAAGGAGCUUGAUUAAGUAGGUAUUGCAUACAUUUAUUUAUCCAGAUUUAUCAAAGGAGAUUGGCAGAUCUAAAUAAAUAAUCUGUGGAAUGGUCCUACAAUUGAAUGAUAUAGAACAGUGCCCAUGAUGCACAAGGAUUAUGCUUAUAAAUGAAGUACAUAAGAAAUACCUGGUGGGAGAGGUUUGCCUGAGGACUAAAAAGAGCAGGGUAAUAAAAGGGAAAAGAGUCAGGGCUGCACCUUUGUAGGGAAGCUUUUGCAGAACGUCAUGUGCAUGGUGUGAUCUGAGCAGGCUUCUCUCCUGAACACCUGUCCAUCAGUUAUCUGAAGUGACAUCAUUAGAGGAAAGGGACUCUGCCUUAAAAAAAAAAUCUAUGUCUCCCUGGCACCUAUCAGAGUUCCUAACAUAAAGUAAAUUAUCAAUAAUGUAUUUUAAGAUGCAUGACUAAUGAUUACAAUGAAUUUUUCUCUUCUUUGUAGAAAGAAACACAGAGUGAAUACGGGAUGUUCUCUGAGACUAUUCUCAUGCCAUUCACUUCCUGGUCAGACAGCUUUCUUUAUUUCUCACUGUAGGUCUUCACAAAGUGAAAGUGCUUACUGACUCUAUCCUUUUGACAACAUUUCUUGGAUUUGCUUCUUCCCCCUUGCAUCUAAAAUAUCUGCUUGUUGAACCCUUCUAGACCUUGCUCUCAGUAUCUCUUCAUUUGGUUGUUUAUUUGUAUCCUUUAUAAUAAACUACUAAUUGUGAA